UACAGAGGGGGCAAGCGUUGUUCGGAAUUACUGGGCGUAAAGGGCGCGUAGGCGGCCUUCUAAGUCGAACGUGAAAUCCCCGGGCUCAACCCGGGAACUGCGUCCGAUACUGGAAGGCUUGAAUCCGGGAGAGGGAUGUGGAAUUCCAGGUGUAGCGGUGAAAUGCGUAGAUAUCAGGAGGAACACCGGUGGCGAAGGCGGUUCUCUGGGCAUGUCCUGACGCUGAGGAGCGAAAGUGUGGGGAGCGAACAGG
rnacentral:rRNA from 1 species